UAAUCUGCCACUCUGAAGAAUGAAAACCAGAUAUCCAUCAGCAUUAACUGACGAACCAAACUUUGGUCUUACUGCCUAUUCAGGGAGGGGAUCUUUCUUCCAGCACAUAAUGGUGAUGAGUUUAGCAGGUGUUGAGACUCUACAUCUUCAUGAUACAAAUCUACUUAAUAUCUCUUAGACGCAGAGGUGAUUUUGCUAAUUUGAAAGGAAACAUGAAAGAAAUAUGUGUUUCUGUGACUUUCUUCUAAUCUUUGUUUACGUGCAGGGAGGGGAUCUUUCUUCCAGUACUUAAUGGUAACAAGGUAGGGAAUCUUUCUUCCAGCGCUUAAUGGUAAUAAGGUUAGCAGGUGUUGGAGACUCUACAUCUUCACAAUAGAAUCCACUUACUAGUAUGCUAUUGUUGAUGGCCAUGGCUGCUUUGUGGAUUUGAUUUGCACAAUCACGCCUUUUCUGCAAUGCCC